rnacentral:rRNA from 1 species
GUAAAGCCCUCUAAGCGGGGAGGAAGGCGGUGAGGUUAAUCCCGUGAUUGAUUGCCGUUACCCGCAGAAGAAGCACCGGCUAACUCUCAGUCAGCGUCCGCGGGAAUACGGAGGGCGCAAGCGUUCAUCGGAAUUUCUGGGCGUAAAGCGCACGCAGGCGGUCUGUCAAGUCGGAUGUGAAAUCUCCGGGCUCACCCUGGGAACUGCAUUUGAAACUGGCAGGCUAGAGUCUUGUAGAGGGGGGUAGAAUUCCAGGUGUAGCGGUGAAAUGCGUAGAGAUCUGGAGGAAUACCGGUGGCGAAGGCGGCCCCCUGGACAAAGACUGACGCUCAGGUGCGAAAGCGUGGGGAGCAAACAGGAUUAGAUACCCUGGUAGUCCACGCCGUAAACGAUGUCGAUUUGGAGGUUGUGCCCUUGAGGCGUGGCUUCCGGAGCUAACGCGUAAAUCGACCGCCUGGG